AUUGAACGCUGGCGGCAGGCCUAACACAUGCAAGUCGAGCGGUAGCACAGAGAGCUUGCUCUCGGGUGACGAGCGGCGGACGGGUGAGUAAUGUCUGGGAAACUGCCUGAUGGAGGGGGAUAACUACUGGAAACGGUAGCUAAUACCGCAUAACGUCGCAAGACCAAAGUGGGGGACCUUCGGGCCUCAUGCCAUCAGAUGUGCCCAGAUGGGAUUAGCUAGUAGGUGGGGUAACGGCUCACCUAGGCGACGAUCCCUAGCUGGUCUGAGAGGAUGACCAGCCACACUGGAACUGAGACACGGUCCAGACUCCUACGGGAGGCAGCAGUGGGGAAUAUUGCACAAUGGGCGCAAGCCUGAUGCAGCCAUGCCGCGUGUGUGAAGAAGGCCUUCGGGUUGUAAAGCACUUUCAGCGGGGAGGAAGGCGUUAAGGUUAAUAACCUUGGCGAUUGACGUUACCCGCAGAAGAAGCACCGGCUAACUCCGUGCCAGCAGCCGCGGUAAUACGGAGGGUGCAAGCGUUAAUCGGAAUUACUGGGCGUAAAGCGCACGCAGGCGGUCUGUCAAGUCGGAUGUGAAAUCCCCGGGCUCAACCUGGGAACUGCAUUCGAAACUGGCAGGCUAGAGUCUUGUAGAGGGGGGUAGAAUUCCAGGUGUAGCGGUGAAAUGCGUAGAGAUCUGGAGGAAUACCGGUGGCGAAGGCGGCCCCCUGGACAAAGACUGACGCUCAGGUGCGAAAGCGUGGGGAGCAAACAGGAUUAGAUACCCUGGUAGUCCACGCCGUAAACGAUGUCGAUUUGGAGGUUGUGCCCUUGAGGCGUGGCUUCCGGAGCUAACGCGUUAAAUCGACCGCCUGGGGAGUACGGCCGCAAGGUUAAAACUCAAAUGAAUUGACGGGGGCCCGCACAAGCGGUGGAGCAUGUGGUUUAAUUCGAUGCAACGCGAAGAACCUUACCUGGUCUUGACAUCCACAGAACUUUCCAGAGAUGGAUUGGUGCCUUCGGGAACUGUGAGACAGGUGCUGCAUGGCUGUCGUCAGCUCGUGUUGUGAAAUGUUGGGUUAAGUCCCGCAACGAGCGCAACCCUUAUCCUUUGUUGCCAGCGGUUAGGCCGGGAACUCAAAGGAGACUGCCAGUGAUAAACUGGGGGAAGGUGGGGAUGACGUCAAGUCAUCAUGGCCCUUACGACCAGGGCUACACACGUGCUACAAUGGCAUAUACAAAGAGAAGCGACCUCGCGAGAGCAAGCGGACCUCAUAAAGUAUGUCGUAGUCCGGAUUGGAGUCUGCAACUCGACUCCAUGAAGUCGGAAUCGCUAGUAAUCGUAGAUCAGAAUGCUACGGUGAAUACGUUCCCGGGCCU
rnacentral:rRNA from 1 species